rnacentral:rRNA from 1 species
AUGAAGAACAGCAAAAUAGCGCUCUUCCUGGCCAUGUUGUUCCUGGUGAUCUCCGCUUCUUCCGCUACCGCUCCGAGAGAUGCUCCAGCAGGCCUCGCCAAGAAAACCCAUUCGGGCAUCAUGAACGAGGCAAACGACGGUUUCGCUGAAUCCAAAGGAAUAAUCAUGAAGAACCCAGUGUUCCGUCCUCCAAAGUACGCACCUUGUGCUUCCAAGGCCGUGCGCCCGAGCGGGGACAUCAAGGAAGAGAAGCUUUGCUAG